rnacentral:rRNA from 1 species
UACGUAGGGCGCAAGCGUUGUCCGGAAUUAUUGGGCGUAAAGAGCUCGUAGGCGGUUUGUCGCGUCUGCUGUGAAAACUCGAGGCUCAACCUCGGGCUUGCAGUGGGUACGGGCAGACUAGAGUGCGGUAGGGGUGACUGAAAUUCCUGGUGUAGCGGUGGAAUGCGCAGAUAUCAGGAGGAACACCGAUGGCGAAGGCAGGUCACUGGGCCGCAACUGACGCUGAGGAGCGAAAGCAUGGGGAGCGAACAGG